rnacentral:rRNA from 1 species
CCUACGGGAGGCAGCAGUGAGGAAUAUUGGUCAAUGGGCUUACGCCUGAACCAGCCAAGUCGCGUGAGGGAAGACUGCCCUAUGGGUUGUAAACCUCUUUUGUCAGGGAGCAACGCCGGCUACGUGUAGCCGGACUGAGAGUACCUGAAGAAAAAGCAUCGGCUAACUCCGUGCCAGCAGCCGCGGUAAUACGGAGGAUGCGAGCGUUAUCCGGAUUUAUUGGGUUUAAAGGGUGCGUAGGCGGAAUGCCAAGUCAGCGGUAAAAUCUCGGGGCUCAACCUCGCUCCGCCGUUGAAACUGGCGGUCUUGAGUGGGCGAGAAGUAUGCGGAAUGCGUGGUGUAGCGGUGAAAUGCAGAGAUAUCACGCAGAACUCCGAUUGCGAAGGCAGCAUACCGGCGCCCAACUGACGCUGAAGCACGAAAGCGUGGGUAUCGAACAGGAUUAGAUACCCUUGUAGUC